rnacentral:rRNA from 1 species
UACAGAGGUCCCAAGCGUUGUUCGGAUUCACUGGGCGUAAAGGGUGCGUAGGUGGUUAGGUAAGUCCGAUGUGAAAUCUCCAGGCUCAACCUGGAAAUGGCAUUGGAUACUAUCUAGCUUGAGGAGUGGAGGGGGGACUGGAAUUCUCGGUGUAGCAGUGAAAUGCGUAGAUAUCGAGAGGAACACCAGUGGCGAAGGCGAGUCCCUGGACAGUUCCUGACACUGAGGCACGAAAGCUAGGGGAGCAAACAGG